UUGAAAGACAUUUUUCUUUCACUCUUUAUAUUCUCUCAUCCAUUUUUUUCAAGCCACAAAGCCACCCUUUUAUAGUGUAAAAUAAGGUCAUCAUAAAACCUAUAUUUAAUAUAGAAUUAGGAAAAUUUAUGGAGGUUUUAUGAGGUAAAUAAAGUGCUUGUAUGUUUCAAAAUGUUGGUCAAAAUUACCUCAUAAAUUGGUCAAAGAAAAUAUUUAAUAAAAUAUUAUUUUUAUUAAAAAAACCCAACAAUCCCCCACUAUUUUAAUAAAAAUAAGAAUAAUAAUAAUAUUUGAGCUCUUGCGGAAUAUUAUGCAUAAUGAAAGUGGACAAUGCCUUCAAACCUUCACUUAGUACAAUAUGUUUCCCGUACUAGAAUCAAAGUGGACUUAGCCUUCAAACAGUGAACCUUGGGGCACGUGGAAUCAUAUUGCACACAUAAUACUCAAAGUGUCCCGAUCGAAGCUUCUAAAGCCAGCACGUUAACGGCCAUGUGCUUUAACCCAUUUCUCGUGAGAGCUCUAGAGAACAGCCUCUAAUUCUCACAGGAAGCGGCCCCACUUCCACACUCACAACGUGAAUUCUAUCAAGGAUGUUUACGUAACUCCAACACCCCACCCAUUCGGACUAUAGAAAUCAUUAAGAAAUCAAAGUCUCAACCUCACAAUUCGUUACGAGCUUUAUUAGUGCACACGCACCAUAGGGAUGGAUAAUAAAAGUGUGCACUUUUAUCACUAUCAAGUUGCUUUCAGAUUCGUUUUUCUUCGCCUAGUUCGUAGGAUCUCUAGCCCCUAGGCGGUAGUAUCAUCAUCAACAACUUUACAAAAUAUAUUAGGUUUUAAUCCAAUCCCCCUCGAUGCAUUUCAGAUGAUUUCUGAAAUAAUAUGAAAUAUAAUUUCACAAAUUUAGUAGCGCUUAUCUGACAUUUAGUCUCGUAGACUCAAUGGUUUAUUAACCAUUCUCAAAUAAUUUUACAUGUAAUAUCUCAUAGAUUUCACGUGAAUUUUCACAUAUAUUCACAGUACUGUAUUUUCUUUUAAUGGUUCCGGCUCCCAUUAAAAGAUUCUCGCUUUUGCCAACUGCAGUUUUUCAAUCACAUGUAUGAUCUAUCAAUGCACAAAUCAUUGAUUUUUCACAAUCUCAUUAAUCAAAACACAAAGCAUUUGAUUUAUCACACAUUAGGAUUUUAUAUAUCACAUUCGGUAUCAACCGGCCUCUUCACAGGCUAAUGUCAAAAUAAUCAAUCCAAAUUGAUAUGAAUUUUCAAUUUUAAAUUAUCGGCAUAUACCUCAUUCACACAAGGUGAAAAAUUGGAAUAUAAUUCCUCUCUUUUAGAUUUUCAAAAUUCAACAAUAUUGAAAACUUUGAAAAAUGUUUCACUUCACAAAUCACAAAUAUAUUUGCUAGUAUAUUUUCAGCAAAUUUAAUAAUCACAAUUAGGCAUUUGUAAAUGAUAUCAAGGUCACAUAUAUGCAAAUUUAGGCCUAUGAUAGUUACUUAUAUAAUCAAGAUUGCAAAUAAAGCAUAAUUUAUCACAUUAUCACUAUUCAAAUUUGCAAUCAUAAAGUGGGCAAUUUAAAUAAAGAUCACGUUAAAAUCAAUUGUAACAUGCUCAUAUAAGUAGACAUUAAAACCCCCACUAUUUCUCAAUAUUUAAACAAUACAUAAAAUGUUUAAUCAUAUGAUCAUGCUCUCUAAGACCCCCACUAAUUCACAUCAAAUGUUUCAACACAUACAUGAUGAAUUAAAUUCAAGAUAUAAUAUAUCAUGCUCAUUUUCUUAAUUAGGUGUGAUUACUAUGGCACCCAUUAUUUCUUAAUUUAUUUAAUCACAUACAAUAUUAACUCCACCUAAUGAAUCAUGAAUCAAGAUACAUUUCAACAAUUAUGAUCAUGUUCAAUUCUCAAUUAGAGCUAACUACCAUUACCCCCACUAAUUGUCAAUUUAAUCAGACAUUUUUUUUUCAAAAAAUAGUAUAUUAUUAAAUUUAAUCAACGCACAAAAGAUAACACAUUGGUUAAUAGUGUGCAAACGGUAACAUCAAGGGUUAAAUGCAAGUAAGCACACAUUAACCAAAUAAUUACUCAUACAUUUAAACUAGUAUAAAAGAAUUACUCUUACAUUUUAUAACUGAAGCCGAUGAUUUAUGAAAUAAUUAAUUCGAAAAUAUAUAAUUAAAAAUCUAGAACCAAUUCUUACUUUUACUUUUCUGUAACCGACUUCUCCAAUUUACAAGAUUAUUAUUCUGAUUUUUAUAGCCGUUUAGCUUAUACAAAUAAUGGCUAUAUCCUUGGGCACCAUAAAUAAUCAUAAAUAGUUUCAACUACGUGAAUUCUAAUUAAUUUGUAAUAGGACAAUGAUAUUGCUUGUUGCUGAAGAACUUUAUUUCCAGCAUAUAAUAUUAUAUAAUAAUACUAGUGAAUCAAUCCAUAUACAAAUUAAGAGCACUGAUAUAAUUUAAAAUCAUUUAAGUUAUAGCUACUAUCAUAUAAGCGACCACAUAUUAUAUUGAAAUUUCAAAUAAAUAUAUCUCAUAUGUCAGAUAGGUUACACGUACAAUAUAAUGAAAUAAAUGCAAUAAAUUGUUCAAAGCAACAAUUAAAUCACAUAACAUGCAUUUGGACUCUUGUUUUUAACAUACUCUUAGAAAUAUCAUUUUGUAUGCAAUUAUUAUUCACACAACUAUCACAAACUUAUUAUUGUAUUGCAAGAUACCAUAAUUAAUUUGGAAAUGAAGAACGUACCAGAUUCGAUUAAUUUCUAGGGUUAAUAUGCUAAGAGUCCCUUAAAUGAAACCUAAUUUGAACUAAAUGACAACCUUAAAUUCAAUCUUUUAAUUAAAUCCCUAUUUUAAAAUAAUAUAUGACACACAUCCCUAAUUUUUAUUUUAUCCCUAGUUUGCCCUUAUACCCUAAAUAAAAUAUCCCACGUUUAUUCAACUAAUCAUAUUUUUUUUUUCUCUCUUGCAUCUCGCCGCUCCCUCUCCCUCUCGCCUCUUCUUCUCAGAUUUUUUUUUUGUUUUCUAUCUCGCCGCUCACUCUCCCUCUCGCAUCCUCUUCUCCCUCUCCCUCUCGCCUCUUUAUCUUCCGGCAAGGCGUUGUGGUGGUCGAGGCGACGGCGAGAGGUUGUGGUGGUCGUGGCGGUGUUGGGCGUUUGUGGUGGUCGAGGCGGUGUUGGAGGGUUGCGGUGGUCGGCGGUGUUUGGGGGUUGCGGUGGUCGGCGGUGUUGGGGGCUGCGGUGGUCGGUGGUGUAGGGGGCUGUGGUGGUCGGCGGUGUUGGGGGCUGCGGUGGUCGGCUGUGUUGGGGGCUGCGGUGGUCGGCGGUGUUGGGGCUGCGGUGGUUGGCGGUGUUGGGGGCUGUGAUGGUCGGUGGUGUGGGGGGGCUGCGGUGGUCGUGUUGGGGGGGCUGUGGUGGUCGGCGGUGUUGGCUUCUAGGGUUUGACGGCUAUUGUGUUUACGACUAGGUUUGGCGAGAUUGGGUGUUGUUGGGUGCUAGGGUUUGGUAGUACACCGUAGUAGACUAUAGUACACUGUAGUAUACUUUGCUUUUAGGGUUUGGAUAAGUAAACUAUAGUAGAUCAUAGUACACUGUAGUACACCAUAACCAUAGUAUAUCAUAGUGUACCAUAGUGUUUCAUAGCCUACUACAAUUUUGACAACAGAUAAAAUUAAAAAAAAAUGUAAAUUGAAUAAAAAAACGAAAAAACAAUUUUUUUUAUAAUUUUCAAUAUUAUGUAGGAAAAAAAAAUAUUUUUUUAUGUUUUUUAUAAUAGUGUAAAAAUGAUAUAAUUAUAUUUUUAUAAUAAUGAAAACAAUACGACAUGAAAAAAAAGAAAUAUGUAGAGAAAAGAAAAAGAGAAAUAUGUUAUACGUGAAAAAAAUAAUAAAAAAAUGCUAGAUGGAAAAAUGAAAAUGAUAAAUGUUGUUAAAAUAUUAUUUGAUGUAUAUUACAAUUUUUAUUUGUUAAGGGUAUUUUUGGAAUGAAAUUUAUAAAGGAUGUGAAGCAAAGAUUUAGUUAGACUUGUCAUUUAGUUCUAAUAAGUUUUGUCACUAGGGACCUAUAUCUUAAGACCCCUAAUUUCUAUUACGAAUUCUUUCGAUGCCUCAAAAACGCGCACAAUUUGGCAGCUGUAGCAGUGCUCAGUAUUUGGGGCAUAUCUCUCUCGUUCGAAGUCCGAUUUCAGUGAUUCAAUAUGUUUCGGACAGCCAACAGAAAUGCCUAAAUAUUUCGUGUUUUACACAUUCUCACAUUCGGAUAUUAUCUGGUCCAAAACUGACCUCAAAAUAUGAACUCGUGAAUUGCACAAAAAUUCACCUACAACAAAAAUAAGAUUAUUAAUUUUGUUUAGUCAACACAAGAUAAUAAAUAAAAACGAAUCAUCUCCCUUUCCAUCAUGAAGGGUUGCUCUUUUGGAUCAUCGUCAAAGCUCAUCUUCAUGGGAUCAAAAAAAUUCGUCUUAAAUUGUUGGAACCACGGCUGUAAUUUGACGAUUGAUCACGAAACUUGUGGAUUGAGGCUUGUACUCCAUUUGUUCUCUAAUUUUAUAUGUAACAAGUUGCUGCAAUAAAAACCAUGAUAAUAUGGAGAUAGGCAAGGUGAGGCGCGGACUAGGUCGCUCUCUUAAGACGAAUUUCACGACCCCUUCUCUAAUGAGAUGCAAAAAAGGUUCCGAUCGUGUCGCCUAUGGGAUACAAGAGCCCAGCCUAUCUCUCCGUUGUAACUUCACCGAAAUUGCACGUUCAAGUGAAGCAGAAGCUUACACCCGACAGACAACAAGAGCUCAAUAUAUGUAUAUAAUAUAUGAUCUUUUUGAAAGACAUUUUUCUUUCACUCUUUAUAUUCUCUCAUCCAUUUUUUUCAAGCCACAAAGCCACCCUUUUAUAGUGUAAAAUAAGGUCAUCAUAAAACCUAUACUUAAUAUAGAAUUAGGAAAAUUUAUGGAGGUUUUAUGAGGUAAAUAAAGUGCUUGUAUGUUUCAAAAUGUUGGUCAAAAUUACCUCAUAAAUUGGUCAAAGAAAAUAUUUAAUAAAAUAUUAUUUUUAUUAAAAAAAC
rnacentral:lncRNA from 1 species